rnacentral:rRNA from 1 species
UACGUAGGGCGCAAGCGUUGUCCGGAAUUAUUGGGCGUAAAGAGCUCGUAGGCGGUUUGUCGCGUCUGCUGUGAAAUCCCGAGGCUCAACCUCGGGCUUGCAGUGGGUACGGGCAGACUAGAGUGCGGUAGGGGAGACUGGAAUUCCUGGUGUAGCGGUGAAAUGCGUAGAUAUCCGGAGGAACACCGGUGGCGAAGGCGGCUUCCUGGACCGACACUGACGCUGAGGCGCGAAAGCUAGGGGAGCAAACGGG